UACAGAGGGGGCAAGCGUUGUUCGGAAUUACUGGGCGUAAAGGGCGCGUAGGCGGCCUUCUAAGUCGAACGUGAAAUCCCCGGGCUCAACCCGGGAACUGCGUCCGAUACUGGGAGGCUUGAAUCCGGGAGAGGGAUGCGGAAUUCCAGGUGUAGCGGUGAAAUGCGUAGAUAUCUGGAGGAACACCGGUGGCGAAGGCGCAUCCUGGACCGGCAUUGACGCUGAGGCGCGAAAGCCAGGGGAGCAAACGGG
rnacentral:rRNA from 1 species